rnacentral:rRNA from 1 species
CCAAUGGCGGUACAGAGGCGGCGAAGGGUGACCUGAGCAAAUCUUUGAAAGCUAGUCGUAGUCCGGAUUGGAGUCUGCAACUCGACUCCAUGAAGUCGGAAUCGCUAGUAAUCGCGAAUCAGCAUGUCGCGGUGAAUACGUUCCCGGGCC